UAUAUUUGCGCCCGAAUUGGUUUGAAAUCCGUGGUCAACGGAGGAAGAUUAAAAGGGAAUCGGGUGUAACUCCCGGACAGUCCCGCUGCUGUGAAGCUCUGUGAAACAUCUUACAAAUUAACCGGAUUCGUGCCACUGAUGGAGGUGAAAAAUCCAUCGGGAAGGCUUGUAAGAUGAGAGUCAGUCAGAAGACCUGCCAUUCGGAUAUAUAUUUU
rnacentral:ncRNA from 2 species